CGCGGGAUGGAGCAGCCCGGUAGCUCGCCAGGCUCAUAACCUGGAGGUCGCAGGUUCAAAUCCUGCUCCCGCAACCA
rnacentral:tRNA from 1 species